rnacentral:rRNA from 1 species
AGAGUUUGAUCAUGGCUCAGAACGAACGCUGGCGGCGUGGAUAAGACAUGCAAGUCGGACGAGAUUUUUCGUUGUAGCAAUACGAUGGAAAGUCUAGUGGCGAACGGGUGCUUAACACGUGGGCAAUCUGUCUUAAAGUGGGGGAUAGCUCGGCGAAAGCCGAAUUAAUACCGCAUGUGAUUAGAGUGGACAUCCAUUCGAAAUUAAAGGUGGCGCAAGCUACCGCUUUUUGAGGAGCCCGCGGCCUAUCAGCUUGUUGGUGAGGUAACAGCUCACCAAGGCUUUGACGGGUAGCUGGUCUGAGAGGACGACCAGCCACACUGGGACUGAGACACGGCCCAGACACCUACGGGUGGCAGCAGUCGAGAAUUUUUCUCAAUGGGGGAAACCCUGAAGGAGCGACGCCGCGUGGAGGAUGAAGGUCUUCGGAUUGUAAACUCCUGUCAUUGGGGAACAAGUCGCUUACGUUAACUGCGUGAGCGUUGAUAGUACCCGAAGAGGAAGAGACGGCUAACUCUGUGCCAGCAGCCGCGGUAAUACAGAGGUCUCAAGCGUUGUUCGGAUUCAUUGGGCGUAAAGGGUGCGUAGGCGGCGCGGUAAGUCGGGUGUGAAAUCUUGGAGCUUAACUCCGAAACUGCAUUCGAUACUGCCGUGCUUGAGGACUGGAGAGGAGACUGGAAUUUACGGUGUAGCGGUGAAAUGCGUAGAUAUCGUAAGGAAGACCAGUGGCGAAGGCGGGUCUCUGGACAGUUCCUGACGCUGAGGCACGAAGGUCAGGGGAGCAAACGGGAUUAGAUACCCCCGUAGUCC